UACGGAGGGUGCAAGCGUUGUUCGGAUUUACUGGGCGUAAAGCGCACGUAGGCGGCUUUGUAAGUAAGAGGUGAAAGCCCAGAGCUCAACUCUGGAAUUGCCUUUUAGACUGCAUCGCUUGAAUCAUGGAGAGGUCAGUGGAAUUCCGAGUGUAGAGGUGAAAUUCGUAGAUAUUCGGAAGAACACCAGUGGCGAAGGCGGCUGACUGGACAUGUAUUGACGCUGAGGUGCGAAAGCGUGGGGAGCAAACAGG
rnacentral:rRNA from 1 species